rnacentral:lncRNA from 1 species
GACGAGGCAAUUUAUUACUUACGCAUAGAACACUGGCUGUGCUGAAACUGGGAGCGCAAACAGCCCCUUGUUUUCUAAUUUAGAGACUUGCAUCUUUUCGACACUCAACAGUAUCAAGACACUCUGCUACUACAGAAUCUUCUGGAGAGGAAAGAAGAAACCAUGUCUAGACAAGGUGCUGGAAAGACCCAGGGAAGACACAGGGAAAUCAUCUUUCGGGAAUUUAUCUAAGAAGAACUUCUUAUGAUAUAUGAAGUCUGGGGGUAAGACCUGCAGUAAUUUCCCUUAAGAUACUACAGAAUUUCCAAGGACUUGAGGAAUAAUUGCACUCUUGAAAGAGCCUAUGAAAAAAGAAGAGACUUGGGAAAUUUAACAGAAGUUCACUUUCCACCACUGCGCAAACUAAGGAAAAACUUAAAGCAGUAAAUAGCUGCGGUUGGCAAAGCUGUUUUGGCUCAGGAGCAGCUAUCAGGCCUUGAUAAGGUCCACAAGUCUGCUGUUCUAAAAUCAAAAAAAAAAAAAAAAA